GCUGGGUGUGGUGGCACAUGCCUGUAAUCCCAGUGGCUCGGGAGGCUGAGGCAGGAGGAUCUGGAGUUCAUAGCCAGCCUCAG
rnacentral:sRNA from 1 species